GUAGUCCACGCAGUAAACGAUGAAUACUAGCUGUUGGCGAUAUAUUGUCAGUGGCAGAGCGAAAGUGUUAAGUAUUCCACCUGGGGAGUACGCCGGCAACGGUGAAACUCAAAGGAAUUGACGGGGGCCCGCACAAGCGGAGGAACAUGUGGUUUAAUUCGAUGAUACGCGAGGAACCUUACCCGGGCUUGAAAGUUAAUGAAUAACCCUGAAAGGGGUUAGGCUCGCAAGAGACAUGAAACUAGGUGCUGCAUGGUUGUCGUCAGCUCGUGCCGUGAGGUGUCGGCUUAAGUGCCAUAACGAGCGCAACCCUUGUUGUUAGUUACCAUCAGGUAAAGCUGGGGACUCUA
rnacentral:rRNA from 1 species